rnacentral:rRNA from 1 species
GAGACAGGUGGUGCAUGGUUGUCGUCAGCUCGUGUCGUGAGAUGUUGGGUUAAGUCCCGCAACGAGCGCAACCCUUAUGGUCAGUUACUACGCAAGAGGACUCUGGCCAGACUGCCGUUGACAAAACGGAGGAAGGUGGGGAUGACGUCAAAUCAUCAUGCCCUUUAUGACUUGGGCUACACACGUACUACAAUGGCGUUAAACAAAGAGAAGCAAGACCGCGAGGUGGAGCAAAACUCAGAAACAACGUCCCAGUUCGGACUGCAGGCUGCAACUCGCCUGCACGAAGUCGGAAUUGCUAGUAAUCGCAGAUCAGCAUGCUGCGGUGAAUACGUUCCCGGGCCUUGUACACACCGCCCGUCACACCAUGAGAGCCGGGGGGACCCGAAGUCGGUAGUCUAACCGCAAGGAGGACGCCGCCGAAGGUAAAACUGGUGAUUGGGGUGAAGUCGUAACAAGGUAGCCGUAGGAGAACCUGCGGCUGGAUCACCUCCUUU